rnacentral:rRNA from 1 species
GCUUGCUCCUUUGACGUUAGCGGCGGACGGGUGAGUAACACGUGGGCAACCUACCCUAUAGUUUGGGAUAACUCCGGGAAACCGGGGCUAAUACCGAAUAAUCUCUUUUGCUUCAUGGUGAAAGACUGAAAGACGGUUUCGGCUGUCGCUAUAGGAUGGGCCCGCGGCGCAUUAGCUAGUUGGUGAGGUAACGGCUCACCAAGGCGACGAUGCGUAGCCGACCUGAGAGGGUGAUCGGCCACACUGGGACUGAGACACGGCCCAGACUCCUACGGGAGGCAGCAGUAGGGAAUCUUCCACAAUGGGCGAAAGCCUGAUGGAGCAACGCCGCGUGAGUGAAGAAGGUUUUCGGAUCGUAAAACUCUGUUGUAAGGGAAGAACAAGUACAGUAGUAACUGGCUGUACCUUGACGGUACCUUAUUAGAAAGCCACGGCUAACUACGUGCCAGCAGCCGCGGUAAUACGUAGGUGGCAAGCGUUGUCCGGAAUUAUUGGGCGUAAAGCGCGCGCAGGCGGUCCUUUAAGUCUGAUGUGAAAGCCCACGGCUCAACCGUGGAGGGUCAUUGGAAACUGGGGGACUUGAGUGCAGAAGAGGAAAGUGGCAUUCCAAGUGUAGCGGUGAAAUGCGUAGAGAUUUGGAGGAACACCAGUGGCGAAGGCGACUUUCUGGUCUGUAACUGACGCUGAGGCGCGAAAGCGUGGAGAGCAAACAGGAUUAGAUACCCUGGUAGUCCACGCCGUAAACGAUGAGUGCUAAGUGGUAGGGGGUUUCC